UUUCUCCAAAAAUAUCACGCAGUCCUAUCAAAAUUGAUAGGAGCCACGGGGAGUGACGAAUCAAUGAAAACUUUUCAUCUUUAUCAGAUAGGAAGCAUACCUAGUGAUGAUUAUUAUCAUCUUACUCAAUUAAUUUUAAUCGGCUAAGUCUAUCAGUUAAUCAAAUCGGAGUUUUAUUCAUCAAGUCUAGACAGUUCAUGGACUGAAAAUGAAAUCCUUUUUUGGGGGAAAAAAACCCAUGCGCAUAUUUUAUCAAUUACGACACGAGAUGAUUUUGUUGUUGAUAGGCAUAAUUCUUUAAGAAAAAAGCCAAUUGUUAACAUACACUGAUUGUCAGCCGUUGGAGUGAUUAUUUUGAAAGUAGGGUGCAAAAAGCUUUUAAUUGUGAAAAAAUAAUUUGAUAUGGAUUUGAACUUACUAUUGUUUGUAAAAAUAAAAUGAAAAUCUGUUUACUUCCUCUUGAGGUGGCUUAGAAUAGUUCAUUAUUCAGUAAAAAUGCGUGUUUAUUCAUACGUGAAACGCAAAACUAUUAGAUAUGAAUCAGUUUUGUAAAUGAAGUUUCCUUACGUGAGAAGGUAUAAUAAAAUAAAUUAAAGGGAUAUUGUAGAAAUAUAUAUGCGUAAAAUUUCUACCGCUCAUAUGUUGCGAUAAAUCCACUCUGCAUAGUUUUACUGGUUCUCCUACUCCGAUUUAAAGGGACGGUGACAAAGGCCGGUUAAAUUUCUUGCCAAGAGAUAUCCUCGAAAGUAACACAAGUUUCCAAUUAUAAAAACAUGCCCUGCUCUUCAGUUUCCAGCUGGACGCACUGGUGCCAAUCACGCAGUAUUAUUAUUGUAAAAUGUAGAUUUAGAGCACUGUUAUUUCUAUGUAUGGAAUUAGUAUGAUGAUUACCUAAUAAAAAGAGUAUAUAGUAGGCUCCGAUUUUCGUAAGCCACUGUAGGAAUACAGAAGCAUCCGUUAUUUCAUAAGUUUGUAAAAAGUUCCCUGUCUCUACAUUUUAAUAGUGAUAUGAAACCUAAAACUUAUUAAACAUCAAUGUAAGUAAAUAUUUUUCUGAAUUUUUCCCGAAAUAUAAUAAACCCGAAAGAGGUAAGUUUUUUCGAACUUGAUGUGCAAAAGAUAGAGACGCCAGAGAGAGGGCAGUGGAAACAGAGGGCAGCGGGGGCGGGGUGGAGGGGUGAAAAAAAUGGAGGAAGAUAGGGGAGGACAUAUUAUCUAGGGAGACCAGCGGCUGCAAAUUCCUUUCAAGUUUACUCAUACCAAUAAAAACACAUGAACAGUA